rnacentral:misc_RNA from 1 species
GAUGAAGAACGCAGUGAAAUGCGAUACGUAAUGUGAAUUGCAGAAUUCAGUGAAUCAUCGAAUCUUUGAACGCAUAUUGCGCUCUCUGGUAUUCCGGAGAGCAUGCUUGUUUGAGUAUCAGUAAACACCUCAACUUCCAUAUCUUUUUUGAAAUGGGAGUUGGACUUGAGUGAUCCCAACGCUUUUCCUCACCGAAAAGUGGCGGGUUACUUGAAAUGCAGGUGCAGCUGGACUUUUCUCUGAGCUAUAAGCAUAUCUAUUUAGUCUGCCUAAAAAACAGAUUAUUACCUUUGCUGCAGCUAACAUAAAGGAGAUUAGUUCUUGUGCUGACUGAUGCAGGAUUCACAAAGACGGCUUCGGCCGACUUUGUAAACUCGAUCUCAAAUCAAGUAAGACUACCCGCUGAACUUAAGCAUAUCAAUAAGCGAGGA